AUUAGCCAGGAAAGAAGAUCCUAGUUAAAUUUGACUCUAGCUUUAUAAAAAAAUAUAAAAACUGUAGUAUAAGCGAGAUGGUAAAUCACAUCAUUGGUGAAAUAUUGCUUUUAUUUUUUUAGGUACUCGGUUGGGUGGAGCACGAAUUUCAGUAUUCUGAGCCAAGCGAGGAUUUUAACUAGGAUGAUACAUCUAUCAAAAAAUAAGUAUUUUUUAUUUAUUUCUAAGAUCAGCAAAAAGAAGACAGAAACCUCGCAUAGAGCAAAAAAGCAAAAGAACUUAAUCUUGAUGUUUAAUACCCACAAAAACUGAAAGAAUAGUCUAUCGAUUCUUUUGGCUUAAAUAGUUUUCAGCAAGAGAUAUAAAAAGGAUUACUAUAAGAAUAAAUUGGCUUUUGGCUAAGACUUCAUAGCGACUUCAUCGUUUUUUAAUCC
rnacentral:ncRNA from 1 species